AUGAACGCUGGCGGCGUGCCUAAUACAUGCAAGUCGAGCGAACAGACGAGGAGCUUGCUCCUCUGACGUUAGCGGCGGACGGGUGAGUAACACGUGGAUAACCUACCUAUAAGACUGGGAUAACCUCGGGAAACCGGAGCUAAUACCGGAUAAUAUAUUGAACCGCAUGGUUCAAUAGUGAAAGACGGUUUUGCUGUCACUUAUAGAUUGAUCCGCGCCGCAUUAGCUAGUUGGUAAGGUAACGGCUUACCAAGGCGACGAUGCGUAGCCGACCUGAGAGGGUGAUCGGCCACACUGGAACUGAGACACGGUCCAGACUCCUACGGGAGGCAGCAGUAGGGAAUCUUCCGCAAUGGGCGAAAGCCUGACGGAGCAACGCCGCGUGAGUGAUGAAGGUCUUCGGAUCGUAAAACUCUGUUAUUAGGGAAGAACAAAUGUGUAAGUAACUAUGCACGUCUUGACGGUACCUAAUCAGAAAGCCACGGCUAACUACGUG
rnacentral:rRNA from 1 species